rnacentral:rRNA from 1 species
GAUGAACGCUGGCGGCGUGCCUAAUACAUGCAAGUCGAGCGAACAGACGAGGAGCUUGCUCCUCUGACGUUAGCGGCGGACGGGUGAGUAACACGUGGAUAACCUACCUAUAAGACUGGGAUAACUUCGGGAAACCGGAGCUAAUACCGGAUAAUAUAUUGAACCGCAUGGUUCAAUAGUGAAAGACGGUUUUGCUGUCACUUAUAGAUGGAUCCGCGCCGCAUUAGCUAGUUGGUAAGGUAACGGCUUACCAAGGCAACGAUGCGUAGCCGCCCUGAGAGGGUGAUCGGCCACACUGGAACUGAGACACGGUCCAGACUCCUACGGGAGGCAGCAGUAGGGAAUCUUCCGCAAUGGGCGAAAGCUUGACGGAGCAACGCCGCGUGAGUGAUGAAGGUCUUCGGAUCGUAAAACUCUGUUAUUAGGGAAGAACAAAUGUGUAAGUAACUAUGCACGUCUUGACGGUACCUAAUCAGAAAGCCACGGCUAACUACGUG